rnacentral:rRNA from 1 species
GACGAACGCUGGCGGCGUGCUUAACACAUGCAAGUCGAACGGAAAGGCCCUGCUUUUGUGGGGUGCUCGAGUGGCGAACGGGUGAGUAACACGUGAGUAACCUGCCCUUGACUUUGGGAUAACUUCAGGAAACUGGGGCUAAUACCGGAUAGGAGCUCCUGCUGCAUGGUGGGGGUUGGAAAGUUUCGGCGGUUGGGGAUGGACUCGCGGCUUAUCAGCUUGUUGGUGGGGUAGUGGCUUACCAAGGCUUUGACGGGUAGCCGGCCUGAGAGGGUGACCGGCCACAUUGGGACUGCGAUACGGCCCAGACUCGUACGGGAGGCAGCAGUGGGGAAUAUUGCACAAUGGGCGGAAGCCUGAUGCAGCAACGCCGCGUGCGGGAUGACGGCCUUCGGGUUGUAAACCGCUUUCGCCUGUGACGAAGCGUGAGUGACGGUAAUGGGUAAAGAAGCACCGGCUAACUACGUG